rnacentral:rRNA from 1 species
CAUGCAAGUCGCACGAGAAAUCUUGAGCAAUCGAGAGAGUAAAGUGGCGCACGGGUGAGUAACGCGUGGGUAACCUACCCUUGAGUUAGGGAUAACUCCUCGAAAGCGGGGCUAAUACCAAAUAACAUUUCAUUCCCUUCGGAGGUUGAGAUCAAAGGUGGCCUCUGCAUGCAAGCUACUUCUCAAGGAUGGGCCCGCGUACCAUUAGCUUGUUGGUAGGGUAAUGGCCUACCAAGGCAACGAUGGUUAGCUGGUCUGAGAGGAUGGCCAGCCACACUGGAACUGAGACACGGUCCAGACUCCUACGGGAGGCAGCAGUGGGGAAUCUUGCGCAAUGGGGGAAACCCUGACGCAGCAACGCCGCGUGGGUGAUGAAGGCCUUCGGGUCGUAAAGCCCUGUCAGGUGGGAAGAAACAUGUCGAUGGAAAUACCAUCGGCAUUGGACGG